CGCAUCUGUGCAUGCAGCCUAUCAAUAAGCGGAGGAAAAGAAACUAACAAGGAUUCCCCUAGUAACGGCGAGUGAAGCGGGAAGAGCUCAAAUUUGAAAUCUUAAAGGGUUUCCCUUUACGAAUUGUAGUUUAAAGAAGUGUUUUCUGUUGAGGUUUUGGUAAAAGUUCUUUGGAAUAGGACAUCAUAGAGGGUGAGAAUCCCGUAUUUGACCUUUACUUUCAACUUUGUGAUACACUUUCAAAGAGUCGGAUUGUUUGGGAAUGCAGUCCAAAAUGGGUGGUAAAUUUCAUCUAGAAGCUAAAUAUUGGCGAGAGACCGAUAGCGAACAAGUACCGUGAGGGAAAAGAUGAAAAGAACUUUGAAAAGAGAGUUAAACAGUACGUGAAAUUGUCAAAAGGGAAGCGUUUGACACCAGUGUUGUUUUUCUGAAAAUCAAUUAAAGAACUGUUUAUGCUAAGCUGUUUAGACUUUAUCAGCUAACUGUUUAGUUUUGAGCUUUUCUUUAAUGCACUUUUCAGUUAACAAGUCAACAUCAAUUUCUUUUGCUGUAAAAAAGCUUGAGGAAGGUGGCUUGAGAUUCGUCUUAAGUGUUUAUAGCCUCUUGCCUAUGCAGUCGGAGAGAUUGAGGUCUGCAGCGUAGAUCCUUCGGGCUAAAUGCAUUUGUGCUAAGUUAUAGCAUUUUAUAGACAACUUGUUGACUAUGAUUUGUCUUGUAGCUUACUCGCUUAUGUUAUUUUACCUACGCUUAGGAUGUUGAAUCUGUGCGAGACUAC
rnacentral:rRNA from 1 species